rnacentral:rRNA from 1 species
AAUCAACGCUGGCGGCGUGCCUCAGACAUGCAAGUCGAACGCGAAAUUUCCCUUCGGGGAGAAAGUAGAGUGGCGCACGGGUGAGUAACACGUAGGUAAUUUGCCUUUGGGUGGGGAAUAACUCAGGGAAACUUGAGCUAAUACCGCAUAAUGCAGCGGCUCGACAUCGAGACAGUUGUUAAAGCGGGGGAUCGCAAGACCUCGCGCCUAAAGAGAAGCCUGCGGCAGAUUAGCUAGUUGGUAAGGUAAUGGCUUACCAAGGCGACGAUCUGUAACCGGCCUGAGAGGGCGGUCGGUCACACUGACACUGACAUACGGGUCAGACUCCUACGGGAGGCAGCAGUCGGGAAUUUUGNGCAAUGGGCGAAAGCCUGACCCAGCAACGCCGCGUGAAGGAUGUAAAUUUUUC